rnacentral:rRNA from 1 species
UACGUAGGGGGCAAGCGUUGUCCGGAUUUAUUGGGCGUAAAGAGCGUGUAGGCGGCUAGGCAGGUCCGUUGUGAAAACUGGAGGCUUAACCUCCAGACGUCGACGGAAACCGCGCGGCUAGAGUCCGGAAGAGGAGAGUGGAAUUCCGUGGUGUAGCGGUGAAAUGCGCAGAUAUCAGGAAGAACACCAAUGCGAAAGCAGCAUCUCGUGGGACGGUACUGACGCUGAGACGCGAAAGCGUGGGGAGCGAACAGG